rnacentral:rRNA from 1 species
AUUGAACGCUGGCGGCAGGCCUAACACAUGCAAGUCGAACGAGUGGCGGACGGGUGAGUAAUGUCUGGGAAACUGCCUGAUGGAGGGGGAUAACUACUGGAAACGGUAGCUAAUACCGCAUACCAUCGGAUGUACUCAGAUGGGAUUAGCUAGUAGGUGGGGUAAAGGCUCACCUAGGCGACGAUCCCUAGCUGGUCUGAGAGGAUGACCAGCCACACUGGAAGUGAGACACUGUCCAUACUCCUACGGGAGGCAACAGGGGGGAAAAUUGCACAAUGGGCGCAAGCCGGAUGCAGGCAGGCCGCGUGUAUGAAGAAUGCCUUCGGGUUGUAAAGUACUUUCAGCGGGGAGGCGUUACCCGCAGAAGAAGCACCGGCUAACUCCGUGCCAGCAGCCGCGGUAAUAC